rnacentral:rRNA from 1 species
UACGGAGGGUGCAAGCGUUGUCCGGAUUUAUUGGGUUUAAAGGGUGCGUAGGUGGCUUUUUAAGUCAGUGGUGAAAGCCUGCAGCUUAACUGUAGGACUGCCAUUGAUACUGAAGAGCUUGAGUACUGAUGAGGUAGGCGGAAUUGAUAGUGUAGCGGUGAAAUGCAUAGAUAUUAUCAAGAACACCGAUUGCGAAGGCAGCUUACUAAGGAGUUACUGACACUGAGGCACGAAAGCGUGGGGAUCAAACAGG